UACAGAGGGUGCGAGCGUUGUUCGGAAUUACUGGGCGUAAAGCGCGCGCAGGCGGCCCUUUAAGUCUGACGGUGAAAUGCCGGGGCUCAACCCCGUGCCCGCCGCGGAUACUGGAGGGCUGGAGACACGUAGAGGCAAGCGGAAUUCCGGGUGUAGCGGUGGAAUGCGUAGAGAUCCGGAAGAACACCGGUGGCGAAGGCGGCCCACUGGAUCGGUACUGACGCUGAGGUGCGAAAGCGUGGGGAGCAAACAGG
rnacentral:rRNA from 1 species